AUUUAAUGUUGAUAGCAAAAUAAAAAGUCAUGGCAAACUAAAAAGUCACGGCAAACUAAAAACUCGCGGCAAAAUAAAAACUCACGGCAAAAUAAAAACUCACAGCAAAAUAAAAACUCACGGCAAAAUAAAAACUCACGGCAAAAUAAAAACUCACGGCAAAUUAAAAACUCACGGCAAAAUAAAAACUCACGGCAAAAUAAAAACUCACGGCAAAAUAAAAACUCACGGCAAAAUAAAAACUCACGGCAAAAUAAAAACUCAC